rnacentral:tRNA from 1 species
AAAUCGUUAAGUUAAUAUAAACUAUACGUCUUCAAAACGUAAGAUUUACUGGUUUU